AAAAGCCUUUGAUCUGCCUAACCCUUAAAUAGAACCCAGAGCUCUCAGGUGCUUCAAAGAUUUUUCGUGACAGAAAGAAACAAAUAACCUCAAAAACGUAUAAAUUUACUACAUUUCUGCAAAAGCUGGAAAUAUAAUGGAAACCUUGGAUUCAUACAAACCAAAGGAGAUGUCAGGAGAAAAGGCAGCACUGGAUUGCUGGAAUUUUCAGGUGGACCUGAAAUACCUUGAGGAAAUCCUGUACCCCUGUCUGAGUACUGUUCCAUACGAAGAGUGGAUGUCUUUCGAUACCAAUGGCAGUGGAUCAGAACUUGUCGUUCUGCUGUUAAAAAUGUGCAACGUACUUAUAAA